rnacentral:rRNA from 1 species
GACGAACGCUGGCGGCGUGCUUAACACAUGCAAGUCGAACGGAAAGGCCCUGCUUUUGUGGGGUGCUCGAGUGGCGAACGGGUGAGUAACACGUGAGUAACCUGCCCUUGACUUUGGGAUAACUUCAGGAAACUGGGGCUAAUACCGGAUAGGAGCUCCUGCGGCAUGGUGGGGGUUGGAAAGUUUCGGCGGUUGGGGAUGGACUCGCGGCUUAUCAGCUUGUUGGUGGGGUAGUGGCUUACCAAGGCUUUGACGGGUAGCCGGCCUGAGAGGGUGACCGGCCACAUUGGGACUGAGAUACGGCCCAGACUCCUACGGGAGGCAGCAGUGGGGAAUAUUGCACAAUGGCCGGAAGCCUAAUGCAGCAACGCCGCGUGCGGGAUGACGGCCUUCGGGUUGUAAACCGCUUUCGCCUGUGACGAAGCGUGAGUGACGGUAAUGGGUAAAGAAGCACCGGCUAACUACGUG